rnacentral:lncRNA from 1 species
AAACAGAAAGUUAUUAUUGAUUUCAAUACUUUCGACAUUUUUAAAGUGUAUAAAACUGUCUAUGCAAUCAAAUUUUAUCCAAAUUUAGAUGGUUUUGUCCAUAUAAAUAAUGAAGAACAUAUACAGAUGAUACAUGAUACAUUUGAUGCCAUUCUGUCUCGCAUGCGACGAGAGUCGCAGAAAGCGAGACAUAUAGAUAACAAUCUUGCGGCGACUUCGUAAACUUUUUUGUAUGAAAUGUUUCCGUCUGUCAUAUAUCAAUUUUCCUAGUAUCUUCUUUUUUAUUAGUCAGCCACUGUUGAAAG